AAGCGGAGGAAAAGAAACCAACCGGGAUUGCCUUAGUAACGGCGAGUGAAGCGGCAAAAGCUCAAAUUUGAAAUCUAGUACCUUCGGUGCUCGAGUUGUAAUUUGUAGAGGGAUACUUUGGGACCGUUCCUUGUCUAUGUUCCUUGGAACAGGACGUCAUAGAGGGUGAGAAUCCCGUGUGGCGAGGAGUGCGGUUCUAUGUAAAGUGCCUUCGAAGAGUCGAGUUGUUUGGGAAUGCAGCUCUAAGUGGGUGGUAAAUUCCAUCUAAAGCUAAAUAUUGGCGAGAGACCGAUAGCGAACAAGUACAGUGAUGGAAAGAUGAAAAGAACUUUGAAAAGAGAGUGAAAAAGUACGUGAAAUUGUUGAAAGGGAAGGGCAUUUGAUCAGACAUGGUGUUUUGCGCCCUCCGCUCCUUGUGGGUGGGGGAAUCUCGCAGCUCACUGGGCCAGCAUCAGUUUUGGCGGCAGGAUAAAACAAUUGGAAUGUAACUUUGCUUCGGUAAAGUAUUAUAGACUUUUGCAAUACUGCCAGCCGGGAUUGAGGACUGCGACACUUGUUGUCAAGGAUGCUGGCAUAAUGGUUAUAUGCCGCCCGUCUUGAAACACGGACC
rnacentral:rRNA from 1 species